AUUGAACGCUGGCGGCAGGCCUAACACAUGCAAGUCGAGCGGAUGAAGGGAGCUUGCUCCUGGAUUCAGCGGCGGACGGGUGAGUAAUGCCUAGGAAUCUGCCUGGUAGUGGGGGAUAACGUCCGGAAACGGGCGCUAAUACCGCAUACGUCCUGAGGGAGGAAGUGGGGGAUCUUCGGACCUCACGCUAUCAGAUGAGCCUAGGUCGGAUUAGCUAGUUGGUGGGGUAAAGGCCUACCAAGGCGACGAUCCGUAACUGGUCUGAGAGGAUGAUCAGUCACACUGGAACUGAGACACGGUCCAGACUCCUACGGGAGGCAGCAGUGGGGAAUAUUGGACAAUGGGCGAAAGCCUGAUCCAGCCAUGCCGCGUGUGUGAAGAAGGUCUUCGGAUUGUAAAGCACUUUAAGUUGGGAGGAAGGGCAGUAAGUUAAUACCUUGCUGUUUUGACGUUACCAACUGAAUAAGCACCGGCUAACUUCGUG
rnacentral:rRNA from 1 species